rnacentral:rRNA from 1 species
UGAGCCAAGUUUAGGGUUUUCUCAAAACCCAAGCAGUAUUGAACUGAAGAGUUUGAUCAUGGCUCAGAUUGAACGCUGGCGGCAGGCCUAACACAUGCAAGUCGAGCGGAUGAAGGGAGCUUGCUCCUGGAUUCAGCGGCGGACGGGUGAGUAAUGCCUAGGAAUCUGCCUGGUAGUGGGGGAUAACGUCCGGAAAC